AUGAAAACAUUAUGCUGGAACUGUCGCGGGAUUGGCGAUCCUGCGAUGGUUCGAGAACUCCGCGAUCUCGUGGAGAGAAGUGCGCCGUCGAUUCUUUGUUUAGUUGAAACUCAAUUGUCGAAGAGCCGAGUUGAAGGUCUCCGUUUUACGUUAGGUUUUGAUUUCAGUUUUGGUGUGAGUAGCUCUGGCCGUAGCGGCGGCAUUUGUAUCUUUUGGAAAAACUCUCUGGAUAUUUCAAUAAAGAUUUUUUCGCAGUAUCAUGUGGAUGCAUGGGUCAAGGAGCCACAGAAGGAUCAGUGGCGUUUAUCGUAUUUUUAUGGUGAAGCAAACAGGAGCCUACCGUACAAAACAUGGGAUAUGAUGAAACGUCUCAGAGGCGAGAGCACUUUGCCUUGGUUAUGCAUUGGCGAUUUUAAUGAGAUUCUAAGGAAUGAGGAGCAGGUUGGCCCAAAUGAGAGGGAUAGUGCACAGAUGGAGGCAUUUCGUGAAGCAGUUGAUGUUUGCGCCCUAUACUACUAG
rnacentral:rRNA from 1 species